AAUAUUUCAGUUGAUGUUGUUUGCUUUUGAAGGUAUACUAGCUCAUUCCUAAUUAACCAUAAGAUCCAUAAUAGAAAGUGGAAUAAGAAGACGAGUGAAAUUGAUGUUGAUUGUCAUAAGAGUUGUGAAAUGGUUGUUUGAGGAGUUAAAGCAAUUGAGGGGUACAAUUGGAGUUUAAUGCCAUUGAGAUUAUAAAGUCGGUGUUGGACAGCGAAGCAGUAGUUGGAUUGCAGAUUCAAGUCUUGCAUUUGGGGCAGGUAUCGGAUAAAUGGAUGUGAUUGUGAGGAUAGUUUUAGGGUUAACCAUUUACUUGUUUCUGUUCGACGACUAAUGUUCAAAAAAGAAAAAAAAGGGGGGGGGGACCGCAACGCCUAAACUCGUAAACAAGACCCAUAAAACUUACUCAAAUCACUCUCCCCAUCAAAAACUCCCAAUUCCUCGAACCCUAAAAUAUCACAUUUCUCCUCUCUGUAACCCUUUCUGUUAAUGGCGAAUCUCAACAAUCUCCCCUCAGACAUUUUACUGGAUAUCCUUACUCGUUUACCAGCUGAUAAGAUUGUACAGUGCAAGGUACUAAACAAACGAUGUCUAGAGUUGAUUUUUCAUCGAUCCGUCCCACAAUUGCACUUAUCUCGUCUUCCUGGUCUAGAUUCUGGUAAGUUAAGUUUUCUUGCCUUCAGCCUUGUUCAACAACUUUACCUUAUUGAGUAUGAUGAGUGUUGUAUGAUGAGAAAGGUCAACUUGAUCCUUCCAUUUAGGACAGAAUCUCCUUGUGCAUGUAGGCUUCUUGGUUCGCAUAACGGCUUGGCUUGUUUUUAUGGGAUUCCGAAUGAUGUUGUUUAUUCUGAUGGAAUGCUGAAUGAUGCUCCUCAUUCUUAUUGUAUUUGUAAUCCACUGAAGAAAGAGUAUGUGUGUAUUGCUGAUUAUAUCUCUAGAGGUAGGGACGAUGGUCCAUAUAAAUAUUGGUCAAGCGGAUUUGGUUGUGAUUCUGUAACUGAAAAGUACAAAGUUGUGGAGUUGGUUAAGUCACGGGGAGAUCGUAGUGUUAUAGCUUCAAUAUACAUUGUUGGCAGUAGUGAGGGGUGGAGACAAGUUCAUAAGUUAGAUACUAUGUUUGCCAGUGUUGAAUAUGUUGGAUAUGGAGUCUUCGUGAAUGGAGCUCUCUAUUGGUUGGAUUCACAUGAAGGAGACGUUUUCAUAUUUGAUUUGACUAGGGAAACAUUUCGUGUACUUGUUUCGCGACAUCCUUUGGAAAUAGGAGUUUUGUGGCGUGAUUACAGUAUAGGGGUUUUCGGUGGAUUUUUGUAUCGUGCAACCAGAUACCGCCUAGGCGUCGAUAACUCUGUACAUCAUGACAUGUGGCUGCUAAAGAACACUAUUCCUGGCAUGGAAGGGCACGGAGGAGCCAAACCAUUGGGUUGGAGUCAAGAGUUUAGGGAUCUUAAAAGAAAACCAUUAGCCUACACCAAGAGGCGCAUAUUUUUAGAUAUUGGUCGUAGCUUUAUUGGCAUUUAUUAUGCAGUUGCUAGAACCUCGGAGAAGCUUGUGGAUUUUACUCGAUUUGCUCAAAUAUUCCCUCAUACGAACUCUUUAAUUUCCCUACAAGAUUUAGGAGCAGUAGAUAUACAAAUAAUGGAGUCAGCUGAUGAAGAACACAAGAAGAAAAUUGAGUCGAAGAAUGGUCUGGAGAAUUAUGCUUACAACAUGAGAAAUACAAUCAAGGAUGAGAAGAUUGAUGGGAAAUUGGAUCCAGCUGACAAGAAGAAGAUAGAGGACGCCAUUGAAGCUGCUAUCCAGUGGCUUGACUCCAACCAGCUUGCAGAGGCUGAUGAAUUUGAUGAUAAGAUGAAGGAGUUGGAGAGUCUCUGCAACCCAAUUAUUGCAAACAUGUAUCAAGGUGGUGCUUCUGGACCUGACAUGGGUGGCUUUGGUGGAAUGGAUGAGGAUGGUACUUCAAUGGGUGGUGCUGGUAGCACUGGUGCAGGACCUAAGAUUGAGGAAGUUGAUUAAGUGCGGAGGGAUAUGAGUGACUGCUUGGGGUUCUGAAAUUGAUUGAAAAACCAUAUCCUGGGAGAAGAAAUAGUGUACUAGAAUAACACAGAAACUCACCAACGUGUAUCCAUUAGAAGGCCCAAGGAAGCAAAUUCCACAGGUUUGUUUCCUAUUAUUGAGAAGUCUCUUCUGUUGGAAUUAACUUUCUACUUCACUUCCCUGUGCCAUAGGGGGACCAAAACCCUCUCAGCAGUUGUUCCCAUAUCUGACUUGCAAUUUUGCAUUUGGCGGCAAAACAGCUAUUAACUGGUAAUCUUUGCAUGAUCUGAAAAUUUUUUCUGCAAGGAUUUAGCACAUGCCUUAUUAUCGACCAGACAAAAAGAAAAUUUGAACUUCUUUAGCAAACUAAAAGGGGAAAUUGUGCCUCAUGCAAACAAAAGAAAAGCAUCAGAAUAGAUGUAGCCAAAACAGUCGGGGAUGGAAGUCUUGCAACAUCAAAAAGUCAUGCUCUUCAUGGUCUGUUGUUGUGAAUCAAAUACUGACGGAAUCCACACUUUCACUCCUUCCCCAUCCUGUCUUUAAUCGGUUUGCGCAUCUUUUUGCC